GUUUUCUUUCCUUCUUCUUCUUCUUCGUCGUCGUCGUUACUACAAAGACUAAUGAUUUCUGGUGUCCGACAACGAUGAUGAUUCUCGCACUUCACGGGUGGUAAUGCAGACGACGACGAUGAUGAUGAUUUCUCAAACUUUUUUACACAAAUAAAUUCAAUCGAUGGUAUAGAAUCAUUAUCAUCUUCGUUGUCGAUGUUGUUGUC
rnacentral:ribozyme from 13 species